AUGAUCACCUACAUGUGCCCUGGAGGGGACGGGCCUGUAAAACCCUUUUUAGAAAAGAUGAGCAGGGCAUAUGAGUACAUUAUUAAAAAUUCUCAAAGGAUGCAAUUGCCAGAAGCUCCCAGCCCAUCUCCAACUCCACAGUCUACCACCUCUCCCUCCCAACCCUCUUCUCCUACUCAUCCUCCAGACCCUUCCACCUUUCUCCCAUCUACUUCUCAUCCCCAAAUGGACUAUGAGGAGGAGACUUACACCCUAACCCUCAUCCCUGUCCAGCCUCCAAGCACCGCCUCAGCAUCUCUCCCUCAAAACACCAUGACUGAAAGUGAGUAUUAGCAUUAAUCACCAUUUAUAUAUAUAUAUAUUUUUUUUUUUUUUGGGGGGCUUUUUAUUGCCUUUAUUAUAGUGACAGCUGAAGACAGACAGGAGAGGGGGGCAGAGAGAGAGGAUGACACGCAGCAAAGGGCCGCGGGUUGGAUUUGUACCCUGGGCCGCUGCAGCAAGGCGUCGGUAAAUGGGCCGCCAGCUCUACUCACUGAGCUAUUCGGGCGCCCAGAAUUAAUCACCUUUUGCCAUGUUUUAAGUAAUGUGUCUAAAGUCAUCCACCUUUGUCACAGGUGUGUCUGCACAAUGCUAACCAAUGCAUGCAAUUCCUUGACAGCCGCAUGAUCAUAUUUUUUGUGUGCAUGUAGACACAAUAAACCAGACACAUGCAGAGCGAUGCAAACUGUUUUUUUUCCCUUAAUACCUCUUAUUAUCAGAAAUGUGAGGGACCUAGCAGUUAGGCAAGAGGAGUCACAAGAGAAUUUUAAAAGAAAAAGUUUUCAUUUGACCAAAAAAAAGAUGUUUGCAACAAAAUGUAUGUGUCUGAAACGGUAUAUAAACCAAUCUUAAGGAAAAACAGCAUGAACUAAGGAAAGUGUAAGUGUACGAGGUUACCGCUUUUGAGAUGGCUGUGUGGCCAUGGCUGUGGCCAUCACAAGUAACAAUAAAAAUUACUCACACUAAAGAUUACUCACUUACUUGUCCUCCUCUACAUGUAUAAGAGACAUAAGUAGCUACGCUACUCAUAACAGAGGAUAUGAAGCUAUGUUCUUGACAAGUCUGUACUUCUACUAAGUCAAUUGACCACAGCAUGGUGUUGUCAUUUUUGAGUGAAUAAAAAAAACUGUGGUAACUAUUAAUGAUAGAUUGGCUAUUUAAAAAUCUAGGCUUUAUGCAAGACGUCAACUGUCGUGUGACUAAUGAGUGGUUUGCAGUAAUGUCACACCACCUUUUUGUAUCAGCUCAGCUAGCUUUGGACCUUCACCAAGGUGUACCAGGUACUAGACGCAAUAAAAAUCAAAGAACAGUAAAUAGGUGAGAUAUCAUGAUCAAGAAGGUGGUUCACCCAGGACGAAGCUCAGCGAUUGCUUCGGUUGUGCUGACACCUGUGAAUUCCCCAAAUGUGGGAAUCUUGAUACCGGAAAUGCAGCUGUAUUCACCUGGGGGAUGUCAAAGUCUGUUUCUAAAUUGCUUCUCCUUUCUUCUUUUCUUCUUUUGUUUUGCAUAAUUUUAGGCUGCCAAAAAUGUUCUAAGCAUAAAAUAUUUCACUACAAUGAAAUCAAAGAGAAACAACUCAAGUACGUAAGAUGUAACUGACUGAGUGAAAUAGCAGUUCAUUUAGCAGUGGUUGCUGGAAUGGCUAACACUUCUUUUUGUCUGUGUUUGUCUGUUUCUGUGUGUGUGUGCAGGGAAGAGAAGAGGUAAAAGUGAGCUGGCUGCCUUGUUCCUCAUGGUAAGAGCUCAGAACUUUGAUUCACAUUAACU
ensembl:lncRNA